AUCCCGGCAGAGUGAUCCCGGCAGUGUACUCCCUAACAAGUGGGCCGUCACAAGAAAAUAUUGAAAGGAAGAGCUACCACUGCCAUUGAUGCAAAUUACAUAUUGAAUAUUUUAAGAAAGUAAAAGAAAGUGGUGACGGUGUAGUGGAAGUGGAGGAAUUACCACUGAUAUCUACAAGUCCAGAAUAUUUGGGAAAUGUACACCCUGAUCAUGAGGACUCAAACUGCAACAUCACAGAUAGUGGAGAUUGUAUUCAAGCUAAAAUAUCGGAAGUUACUGUACGUAAAGACCAGCAUGGGUAAACAAAUAACACUGUGAAAAAUACUGACAAAUAACACAACAGCAAUGUUACUGAUGAUUGAAUUUCACUUCAGACGACGGUUACCCGAAAGUUGUCCAAAACUGUGGUCACAAACACCGUUUAUCAAUCGAACAAUAGCUCCCAUAGUUCUUGGAACAUUACGCUCUACCAGAAAUCAUGACGUAGGUCGAUCCCAACGUAAGAAGUGAUUUGAACUCUGGGUCUGGGUGCUGCAGUAAAACUUACUACUGAACACAAAGAAAUACCUGUCAAUGUUUUUAUUGUCAUAUAUGUACAAAUGAACAUGUAGACUGCAAAUAUGAGAGAGUCAAGAAGGGAAUAAAAAAUCUGAUGUUUUGAACACAAUUUUUUUGUCUUGUGGUUUUACUGUUUAGCUGGUUUGGUAGGCAGUUAAUUGAACAAGAAUGACCUGGGUGCCGUCUUUCCUCGUCUUUCCACCACGCGUAAUGGUGUUCACUGCUUUUUGGACUGGGAUGGGAAGGGUGACCUCGAUGGAGCCUUUGGAAACUUGAUCCUUAUGCUGCCGAGUAAACUUCAGAUCAUCUGUUUAAAGCAUGAAUUUUGGGAUCGCAAGUUGCUAUCUCUCCUUUUUUUAAUUCCAUCUCCGAAUAACGCCUCUAUUUCAUAUUCUAUUGAGAAACCAACUAAGCGAAAACGAAUUUCGUCGGCGCCGGCUGGAAGGACGCAGAACAUAAUGACUUUUCUUGCUCUGCUACAUGGUCUUUGUAGACAGAGACGACGAUGGGUUGAUUAUGAUGAUUAAAUCUUGAGUCCAGAUUCGCAAAGGCAGUAGCGCCUUCUUCCUCUUUUAACUUAGUAAUUUUUGUUACACCUCUAUUUCUGCUGCAGCCUCAUUUGAGGCGGUCGCUUCACCGUGUCGCUUCCUCACUGAAUAAAUUAACAUACAUGUAAUUCAAAUACUACAAAAAUUUAAGAGCAAAUGCUUACAUAACAGACCAAUAGAGCUUCUCAAAUCGUUGAACACAUUACAAAACACACUCAAUGAGAAUUCUUUUAAUAUUUCAUGUUCGUCUUAGAUUGUUUUAGGUUGUGUAGUACCUUCAAUGGUACCGUCUUGAAAAAUUUGUUCGAGAACAACAUGAACCGGAUUUCCCGAAUCACGAUUCCAACAAUUAGGAACCGUAGCCAUAAAAAAGCAAAAGAAUUGAAAACAUGUUUGCUGGCAUGGUUGAAAACUAGAAGAGUUUUUAAUCGUCUGCUCAGUUGUUGCCAUUUUAUCGAUUUGAUAACAUUAAUAUAUUUAAAAAAUUCAA
rnacentral:lncRNA from 1 species